GGGCGGACGGGCUAACGGUUAAGCCGCUGCGCGCGCAACAGAGAAGGGGGUUCGACUCCCCCUCCGCCCA
rnacentral:tRNA from 1 species